GAGAAGCAAAAGCACUUUGAACACAAGGCAACCUGGUCAGAAAACAGUAAUUUCUGCUAUAGAGCAACAAGUCAGAAUUCUGUGCAGGCAUCCUAUCUAGCAACCAAGAGCAGGAUCCAACCAACCCAGCUGAAAAGUGAGAUUCCUAGGUGCAAAACUGCACCUGCAUUUUAAAAGAGCACGAUUUAUUUAGCAUUGGUUGAAAUGUUUAUGUUGAUAAAAAUGAAAUCAGCCCACCAAUCCUAUACCAGUCCCCAAAAUUAGGGAAAGGCAGUCAUACUUAACACGUAAUCGUUAUUAAAGGAAGGAGGGGCAGAAGUCAGGCAUAAAAGGGAAAAGGAAAAAAUGCACAAAUCCAGUGUGUGCUCUUUGUCCCUUACCACAAUUAAUACCCAAGGGACCUACUUUUUACAUUAUAAAAUAAUAAUAUGCAUCUGAUCUGGCCAAACACCAAACAUUUCAGAGAGAUUCUAUGGCUCAUUGAAGCCAAACAAAUACCAUUCAAAGCAAACCAAACUGAAUGUUGACCUUCCUGAAGCCUCAGGAGAAGUUUGGUGCUUUGGAAGGCUACAUAAAGGCAGAUUUUGUCUUCCUCUUUACUGAUACAGAAAAUAUCAGGGAGGGAUUCUAUGUUUUACCACGGAACAAUUUACUGGGGGAAUUGUAAUGUCAAUGCUUUGACCAAAUAGCUUAAAUCAUUCAACUUUCCUAGACAAUAUAUUUAUUUGUUAUGGGGGUAGGGGGCUAUCAUAGAGAGCAUAGUAGUGUGGUUCCU